rnacentral:misc_RNA from 1 species
ACACUAAUGAAAUCCAAAACCUUUUGGAUCAACCCAACCUUAGCGAACCGUUCGUAUUUCCCUUUGCCAUGCUCAAUUUAUCAAACGCAAAACAAUCUGAAGUAAAGUGUCUGAUUCUUAUUCCCGUGCCUUCUGGCCUGGAAUCAAAAUCUAACGCAAUA